rnacentral:rRNA from 1 species
GGAAUAUUGGACAAUGGGUGAAAGCCUGAUCCAGCCAUCCCGCGUGAAGGAUGACGGUCCUAUGGAUUGUAAACUUCUUUUGUAUAGGGAUAAACCUAGAUACGUGUAUCUAGCUGAAGGUACUAUACGAAUAAGCACCGGCUAACUCCGUGCCAGCAGCCGCGGUAAUACGGAGGGUGCAAGCGUUAUCCGGAUUUAUUGGGUUUAAAGGGUCCGUAGGCGGACCGAUAAGUCAGUGGUGAAAUCUCAUAGCUUAACUAUGAAACUGCCAUUGAUACUGUCGGUCUUGAGUAAAUUAGAGGUAGCUGGAAUAAGUAGUGUAGCGGUGAAAUGCAUAGAUAUUACUUAGAACACCAAUUGCGAAGGCAGGUUACCAUGAUUUAACUGACGCUGAGGGACGAAAGCGUGGGUAGCGAACAGGAUUAGAUACCCUAG